GGCCACGACGCGGGGUGCCGGGGCACAUCGGGGUGGAUCGUCGCCCCCCGGCUGAGAACAGACCCGUCGAACCUGCUCUAGUUCGUUCUAGCGAAGGGACGUCACCAUGUCCUCCU
rnacentral:ncRNA from 2 species